GGUAAGGUGUGUCCAGCAGGCGUGGAGAUACGAAGGUCCCGGGGUGUUUGUGGGUUUACUGGGCGUGAAGGGGAUGUAGGCGGGGCGGGAAGGCAGAUGGGAAAGGCCGGGGCUCAACCCCGGAACUGCAUCCGAUACUGCCGUGCUUGAGGAUCGGAGGGGAGUCUGGAAUUCACGGUGUAGCAGUGAAAUGCGUAGAUAUCGUGAGGAACACUAGUGGCGAAGGCGAGACUCUGGACGAUUCCUGACGCUGAGAGGCGAAGGCCAGGGGAGCGAAAAGGAUUAGAUACCUGAGUAGUC
rnacentral:rRNA from 1 species